AGUGAACGCUGGCGGUAGGCCUAACACAUGCAAGUCGAACGGCAGCACAGUAAGAGCUUGCUCUUACGGGUGGCGAGUGGCGGACGGGUGAGGAAUACAUCGGAAUCUACUUUUUCGUGGGGGAUAACGUAGGGAAACUUACGCUAAUACCGCAUACGACCUACGGGUGAAAGCAGGGGAUCUUCGGACCUUGCGCGAUUGAAUGAGCCGAUGUCGGAUUAGCUAGUUGGCGGGGUAAAGGCCCACCAAGGCGACGAUCCGUAGCUGGUCUGAGAGGAUGGUCGGCCACACUGGAACUGGGACACGGUCCAGACUCCUACGGAAGGCAGCAGUGGGGAAUAUCGGACAAUGGGCGCAAGCCUGAGCCAGCCAUACCGCGUGGGUGAAGAAGGCUUUCGGGUUGUAAAGCCCUUUUGUUGGGAAAGAAAAGCAGCAGGUUAAUACCCCGCUGUUCUGACGGUACCAAAAGAAUAAGCACCGCCUAAUUCCGU
rnacentral:rRNA from 1 species